AAGGCUUCGGUUGUAACCUCUUCAGAAGGGACGAAGCUCCUCGGUUAAUAGCCCAGAGGAUGACGGUACCUUCAGAAGAAGCCCCGGCUAACUACGUGC
rnacentral:rRNA from 1 species